rnacentral:rRNA from 1 species
UACGUAGGGUGCAAGCGUUGUCCGGAAUUAUUGGGCGUAAAGAGCUCGUAGGCGGCUUGUCGCGUCGGCUGUGAAAACCUGGGGCUCAACCCCGGGUCUGCAGUCGAUACGGGCAGGCUAGAGUGUGGUAGGGGAGAUCGGAAUUCCUGGUGUAGCGGUGAAAUGCGCAGAUAUCAGGAGGAACACCGGUGGCGAAGGCGGAUCUCUGGGCCAUUACUGACGCUGAGGAGCGAAAGCGUGGGGAGCGAACAGG